GAAAUCUAGAUUUGCGUGAAAUUUAAGAAAAAGGAAAACUAAUUAAAAGAAGACAACCCUUAUUCUUCUGUGCGUCCCCCCACCGCGCGCGCGUGAGUUGGCGCACACUCGUUGACCGGAAGCCCUCAGACACGAGCCGUGCACGCCGUUGCUGAUCCAGCUGCGACCGAAGCUCCGCCAACCGUCUUUCAUCCUCUAGCUCCACCGUCGUCGUCGCUGUUGUCGGUAUCCGCGACAGUUUUCGUCCGAACAACUUUGGUCUUCUCGUGUGGCCUUCUGUUCGCGCACUGUUGGUUUAAUCUUGAAUUUACGAGGUUGAAGUUGAGGUUCUAAGGCAUUUUAACGGCUGCCCAAUUCUUCGUUGGUUUAAUUUUGGUAAGUUUUGGGGUAAGUUAUGUGGGGAUUAUUGGUUUAAAUUGUGUAGGCUUUGGGGAUUGGCCCCACAAGUUGAAUUGUGUGUUUAUGGUUGGUGUUAGGGACUUUGAUUCAAGCUUUUGUUAAUUUAAGAGGAAAGUUCAACUGCUUGAUUGUUAUUUUGCUUAGGCCUAAAUCUGAGGUAAGCGCUUCGCUACCAGUUUGCCCUCAAAUCUAAGUUAUUGUUAAGUAUGAGAUUGUACUGUAAGCUGAUUCUGUGUGUUGGUUUGUACUGUUAUGAGUUACUAUAUGACUAGCUAUGUUUGACGAUUGAGGGGGCUAUGGAGGCUUAUGCUUAUGCCAUGAAAAUUGUGUUGUAUGUGAAUGAUAUAGUAUCUGAACGAUGGAUGUAUUUUGAGACUGUUUUACCCCUUUCAGGCAUGAUUAAAAAUUAUGAUCGUAUGCUUAUGACUAUACUAGACUGAUAGUGACUGUUAGUAUUUCUAUUGGGUCAUUGUUCUUGCUCGAAUCAAUGUCGUUAGUUCGACUCUCACUGAAACAAAAAUAUUUAUAAAUUACCGAAACCUACAUCUUAUACUAACAAGUAGCAUAAGCGGAAAGUACGGGAUCGAUCCACAGGAAAGGCUUGUUUAAUCUUUUCUUAAGCUAAGUUCAACUAUGAAAGCAAUAAAAAUAGGUGUUUGAUAAAGCAAGAAACAUAUUUGAAAACCAAAGGAUAAAAGAUAAUUGUAAACAAAAGUGGUUCAAUCUUAUUUCUAGUUCAAGUUAGAGAUUCAAUACAAUCUCUAUCAUUGAUUUCUACAAAUUUGUCAUACAAACGAAUUAUGCACACAACUACUCGCUUGACUCGACUAGGCUAACCUCUACAAAAGCAGAUAUCUAGUGAAAUCUAAUCAAGAAAGUGUUCUAAAUAUUGAUUAAAGUUGAAAAGGUCUAACCCUAACCAACCUAUAUGCCUCUAGUUCUAUUGGGUUCGACAGCUUCCAUAUAGAAUAGAAGACAUAUUAUGCAUUAAUUUCGAGAAUUCAAUUGUGUCGAUUAAUUGUCAAGAUCGCCAUAUUCAAUUAACUGAUUUUGUUCUUGAAUCUAGCAAUUUAUGUAUUCUAAGAGUAGUCAUCAAAUGCAAAAUUAAUCAUUGCCACUUGGUAGACCUUAGCUAGACAUUCUUAUACAUGAAUACAUCCUAGCGACAUAUCCAAUCAAGAUUGUAGCAAAACUAAGAAUCUUGGCUUAACAUGCUUAAAAGACACCUAAAUAUGAUUUUAGAACUUAAAACCGAUUUAAGAAUCCAUAAUUUUAGAAUGCAAUUUACAAAGAUAAGCAUAAAACUCAAGAAUAUUGCAAAAAUUUUUGAAACCUAGAAACAAGAUUGAAGAAAUUACUUCACAAAUCCAUAGAUAAAUCUAUGAAGAAAUCCAUUACAAUGUUUACAAUCAAAGAAAGAAAUGAAAAUCUAACUAAUUAAAGACAAAGUUACCAAGGAGCUGAACUGGUGAAGAGAGAAACUCUGGACUCUAUGACGAAUUUUGCCUCCCUCUACCUAAAAAUGAAAGAAAACGUUUUAUAGUUGCAGGUGUAGUGUCGCGAUGCUGAGGCUAGCAUUGCAACACUAAAUCGUAAAAAAAUAAAAUCAAGAAACAUUAGGCUAGGGUCUUGUCACUGCGCUUGACGCUGGGUUGCGUGAGGCGCACGUGACAGUUCCAUCAAAUUCCGGCACGUUGCGAUGUUGUUGGAAGCGUUAUAACACUGCCCUGUUUUGCAGUAGAUGGAUGCUUUCUGUCUUUAAGCAUUGCUCGACGCUUCUGGGAGGAUCAUGACACUGGGUCUAAUGGCAUUUUGGUAAUUACUUUGAUUUUCUUCAACUUUGUUGACUUCUUGGUUAUUCUUGAUCUUUUUGAGCCCAAUUUUCUCAAAAUGACUCCUAAUCGCUCCCGGGACUGUUUUGACUAUAAAAUGAACAUUAAAAGUAAACAAAUAACAUAAUUUUGAGGGAAUUAAUGUAGAAAAUAUAUCUCUCUUAAAGACCUAUCUGUCAUGCACAUCGUAUGUGGUGAGCCUUCAGGCUCACACCUUAUGCCUAUGAUUGUGUCCCUUCGAGGUCACUACCUAUGAAAGCGUGCCUUCGGGUUUGCCCCUUAUGCCUAUGCCUAUGCCCAUGCCUACGAUGCGAAAUGUGCACUUGAGUUCUGAUAGGAAUGCUAAUAGCUCAUCUAGUGGUCCCUAUAGCGGGUUGCUUACUGGGUAUAUUUAUAUACUCAUUUUUUUCUCUUCAUGUUUUUCAGGUAGAGGUAAAAAUAGACCAGCGAAUGACAAGAGGGAUCCAUGAUCCAAUCAUUGAGACAUGAUGAUGCUUCCGCACUUAUGUUUUAUUUUAUUUUAUUUUUGGCAUGAUUUAGGUUAGGUGUUUGACAUUUAAAACUUUUGGUAUUUCGUUUAUUUGUUACCCUAUUUAUUGAUUUAUUUAAUUUGUUCUAAAUCAGAGUUAGGGUGCCCAAACUGUUUUAUGAUAUUAUUAAAAUUUGAAAAGUCUCAUUCCUUUAUUUAAAAUUUCCCUUUUUGAAAUAUACAUUGUCAAGCUUAUGCAUGCAUGUAGUAGCGUCCUGGUAGCAUGGUAGAAAGUUGAGUCGUUAUAGUUGGUAUCAUAGUCUAAGUAUUAGGUUCUAUAGAUUGACUUACUAGGUGAGUCCAAAUUGUCCCAUUGGCCAUAAAUGGAUUCUUCGUCAUCGCCAGGUAUGUCCCUUAAAGGAAAGUCGUUUAGGAUUUUAUGCAUGAAACUUUACCUGAAUUGUAGUUGUAAUUGACAGAAUUUCUUGUAAGGAUUUUUGUUAAAGUUUAUUACAUGUGUUAUCAAGAGAUGGCACCACGAACAAGAAGGGGCAAUCGAGUUAAGAAUGUUAGUAGGGAGCAGGAUCCUGAAGUACAAGACCAUGGGGUGCAAAACCCAAAAGCACAAGACCCACCGCCAAUUGACCUUUAUGGGUCAACCUAUAAAAGGGUUAGAACAAGAAGUGGGCCUCAAAAUCCUAUCGUACCCCCACAAGUGUAGACAUCCUCAGAGAUCCCAAUCGAGUAUACCGUCAUGGCUGUAGCAAUUGGAGAAGUUGUUACGAAGGCUGUAGUGGGGCAAUUAAAGGACAUCAUGGUGGAAUAGAUAUUCCAACAUGUUCAGUCGCAGCAAAUACCUCCCUCGCAGGCUUUAACACCGUAAGUGUAGAAUCAGGACCAGGCUUUGACCAAAUUGUGGUAGGUAUUUCAAAGGAGGCUAUGUAUUUACGAGACUUUAAAAAGUAUGACCCCCGACAUUUGAUGGGUUGCUGAAGGACCCCACUGAGGCGGAGUUGUGGAUGUCUUCCAUAGAAGGUAACUUUCGAUACAUGAGGUGCCCAGAAGAGUAGAAAUUGUAGUUCACCAUAUUUAUGCUUGUUGAUAACGUUAAGCACUGGUGGCACUCAAUAGAAGGAAUGAUAGAUGCCAGUGGAGGCUAUGCAAUGUGGGACCAAUUCAAAGAACAAUUAUACGAAAAAUACUUCUCUGUCCACGUGAGGUACAAAAAUAGGCCGAGUUUACGAACCUAAAGCAAGGGACUAUAAUGGUGGAAGAGUAUGAGGAAGAGUUUGACAGGCUGUCUUGUCUCGCCCUCGACUUGGUGUCCACAAAAGCAAAGAGAGCUGAAAGAUUUGUUCAGAGGCUUCGAGAUGGGGUGCGAGGCAUUGUGCAAGCAUUUGAGCCUACUACCUGUGCAACAACAUUGCGUGUGGUAGCGCAAGUAGGUUGUCCAUCGGGAGUAGAGUUUUUGAUGUCCUUAGCAGUAGAACCCACCUCAGGUCAUAAGAGGAAAGUUGAUUAGAGAGCUCUGGAGCCUUCGCUGAAGGUUUAGAACACAGACAUACCACUAGAACACAUCAAGCAACAAAUUUUUAAUUCAGGAGAAGUAUGGAGGGACAUGCCUGUGUGCAAAUUGUGUGGGAAACGUCAAUGGAAAUGUUCUGAUAGGUACAGGGACUUGCUUCAAGUGUAAGUAGGCAGGACAUACGACCAACCAAUGCCCUAGUAGUGGUUUGUAAGUGGUAGGGGUCAGCUCUCGAAUUCAUAGUAGGGUACACUACAACAAAUAGACAUUUUAAUAGCAUUUACGAUAGCUUUAACUAUAAAAUGCUAUUAAAAAGGAGCGAAAAAAGAUGCGAGAAGUAAAAAUUAGGGUCAGUGCCAAAGAAUGAAAUUUUCACUCUUUUUUUUCUUCAUCCUUCCGUCUUUAUUUUCUUCACUCUUCUCCAUUUCAUUUCUCCUCCCUUUAGUUUAAGCAAAUCUCCUUAUUUUCUUCGACCCAACAUCGCCAUUUUCUCCACCUUAUUUCUCCUUCUCUGCCAUUCACAACUCCUCUGCUCAGCAAUCAAUAUCAACACCCUUUCAACAAUUAGGCAACCUAGAAAGGUAUGAGCAUCAUAAAUCCAUAUAAAAUGUUACCUGCAAGGGUGAAAUUAGGGCGGACAAGUACCCAUUGAAAGAAGUGGAUGGCUAGGCAUCGACAAUAGCAACAAAAUCCUUAUACAAUGUAGGGAACAAGCUUGAGAUUUCAUCCUAUGUUUUCUCCGAACAUUCUUAUUCUCUUGUUCCAUUCUAGCAACUCCACCACCUGGUGAUAAGUCGUUCAAGCAACUCUAACUCUAUUAUUUGCUCUGUCAUUCUUAACUCGGUUAACUUCUUAUUCCUUCUUAUUUCUCUUGGUCUGCUACAAUUAUCGGCAAGAGUGGGUUUUUUUCUCUAACCAUAGGCAAAAGGGGAGUUUUGAAUCCUAAAUUUGUUCUCCCUUAUUCUUUGUUUUCUCCUUAAUUUUUUGUUUUUGUUUUUCUUUAUGUUCCUUUGCUCUCUCGCUGCCUUUAUCGUGCCCAACUUCCAUUACAGUCGCUUCACCAUCUCAGUCUCCAAUCUAUUUAUUUUAUUUUUUGAUGGCUUUUUUUAAUGGUCGAUACCAAUGCAUGGGGACUCAAAUCUCUUCACCAAUGGCUGUUAAUUAAUAGUAUUUUUUAUUUGUUUGAACUUGACAUUUUCAAUAUCUGUUGGCAAAUCACCCACAGAAAAUUUCAAUUAGCUAUUUAAAACCCUCUAUUUUGGCCUUCGGAGAAGGUGGUGAAAUGUGGGUUUCUUAUUCUUGUUUGAUUGAAGUUCUUACCAUUGUACACAUGUAAUCGAUAAAUUUGAUGUGUUAAUAUCCCUCUGUUGGUUUAUCUUUUGUGUUGAGUCUUAAUGCAUACUGGUUUGCUUGAUAUGGGGAAAUGUUUUGAGGGCUUAUUGAGUGGGAUUGUGUAACUUUAAUUUGGAUGUUUCAAGCUCUCGCUAUUAGAAAUCAAAGUUCAUGUGCUUUUUAAUUGGUUCAAUUAUUUCUCAUGGAUUUUCAGUUUGAGAAAAUCUUCUGAUCAAAGUUCCUCAAUUUUUUCAUGUUAUUGUCAUCACCGGGCAGCUAAUUUCUCAAUAAAAAAUGCCAAUCUCUUGGAGGUUGAUAUUUUGGCAAAGAAGUUUUCAUUUAUUUCUCAAGAUUUUCACAAUUUUCGUUAGGAGUAAUGUCGUGCCAAAGGUGUAUUUCAUGAUUUGUUAGGUUGGAUUGUAGAACAAUUGUCUCAUUUAUGUUUAAUCUGUUGAAAUAUUUGUAAUUUGUGUCUUUAAGUUGCCAAAUGAUACUUAAAAAAAAAAGUUGUCAAAUGAUAAAAGUAAACAGUUUUAGACAAUUGAGAAUAGAAAGAAUAAACACUGACUUUUCUUUAUUCAAAUAAUCAUAUCGAUUCCAGAAUUGAAUUGCACACAAAGUUACUAAGAGAUUAUACACACAUUGUAAAGAAGGUAAGAACAACUUGCCAUUUAGGAGCCAAAGCAAUGUGGAUGAUUUCUGAAUGAAAUCACAUUUGGCAUGUUCACUAAUUGAAGAAACUGCAUGAAUAUUGAAUAUUGAUUGACAGAUUAGGAGGCUUUUACUUUUGUUGUGGUGCUUCCAAUAUGGCAUUGGAUUGACAAAUUUGAAUGGAAGGUUAUGUGAGCUCUAUUGAGAAAAAAAUGUGAUUGAUUACUUCUUCUAGCUUGUGUUGUGGAGUUUGGAUUCUUGGUUUGAACAUUCUUUCAUUUUUUCAUGUUUUAAAACAUUACAUAACAAAAGAAAAAGUUAACAAGCAAGAAAAGACAUAAGUACUUUUUCCUAAACUUAAUGGAGUUAUUCUGGUAACGAUGAGUUGUAAUCUCUUUCAUAUAUAUUUGUUGAUACUGAUUAUUUAUUUUGGUAGACUUAAGUACUUUUGGUAAUGUGAAAAUCUCUUUCAAUUAUUUGUUAGCAUCGAUUUAUUUUUGUAGACUUAAAUUCCUUUUCUAUUGAUGAGAAUCUCUUUUAAAUGCUUGUAUACGCUGAUUUAUUUUAGUAGGCCUACUUUCAAAUUUUUAGUCAAGUUAAAGCAGCCCUAGCUGCAAUGUAAAGGACUCCAAAAGUAAGGCAAUUAUUAUCGUGUUUUCUACCUCACCCUUGGGGGUCAUGGUUAAGAGUGGUAAGUUCUUCAAUUUUCAUGGGAGCUUUAGUGUAUAGAAAAAGUAUAAUUGGAUUGUGUCUCUAUGAUUAAUUAUAAUGUUGCCUAGACUAUUUUUUGCAAUCUCUCAUUACUUGCCAUCUUUUCCUCUUUUAGUGAGUGUUUGAUUCUUUUGUUUGUUGAUUCUAUUAAUAAAUAUUCGUAUAAUCGUUUCUUCCAUUGAAAAUGUUUUGCUUGAAUCAAUUUUUUCUCUAAGGAUAAUUUAUUUGGAAGAUUAUAACUCAUUGUUCAAAGUCUCCAACUCAUAUUUCAACUUGUAAUAGGUAAGCUUUCCUUCCAAAGAAGAGCUAGUUUUUUUUUUUUCUUUAAUUAUUUUGUCAAUUAAUUUGAUUAUAAUUAAUUAGCUGACUUUAUGACAUUGUUGUGAUCUUCUGAUCUUCUGCAAAUAGAAGGGGCCAACUGGAAUAAUUUCUUUUGUGUAUUGUUUGCAUUUAUUAAAAGUCUUAUUGUGAUCUAGUUUAUGUCUAUUGUGCUUUCAAAAUAAUAGAGUUUUUUCUUUAAAAGAAAAGUCCCUUCGCUGGUCCUACCAACAAAAAUGGGCUGCUAAAAGAAGAGAGCAUCUUCAAAAAAAGACAUCGAUUGUUAACCAUGGCAUAGAGACAUUUUUAAGGAACCUUUUUUCUGGUUUUGAUUGUUAAAAUGUUACUUGGGCAUUGUUUUGGGAGUUUGCGAGUGAAAGUGUCACUAGGUAGUUUUAAGAGUCAAAGUGUCAUUUUUAGAUGUUUUUCUUCCUAUUUUCUAUGAUCUUUAAACCUUGUGGCCUUGGGUACUUGGACAUUGUUGAAUAAUUCAAUUAAAAGACUUGAAACAUGGAGAUGAAUAUGAUUGGAUAAGUGAAAAUUAUUGACGAUUUUUAGUGUUAUGUAAGAAUGAGACUGGGGAUGAUUGGGAAAAUUUAGCUAAUAUAUUUGGUAGAGUUUGGGGGAUAAUUGAGGUUUUUCUCAAUGACGUAGAUUGAUCUGUAAACAUUACCUUAUUCUUUAUUGCAUGUUUCUUUGGGUACCUUGCAUAAAAAAAUUAUUAUAGAGUGAAUUAUGUACCCCUUUCCUUUUACUUAUGAUUCUUGGUUUAUGAUUGUUUCUCGAGCAAUCAAUAACUGAGUUGUAAUAUCGUAUUCUUUUGCGCUUACUACUUGUGUGGAUGAGCAAAUGGUUCUUGGUUUUCUUUUGCUUUUUUCUUUUUAUAGAUUUUUCAGCUAUUUUGGCUAUCAAAGAAGAUAAAUACCUGAAAUUUCAUUGUUGAAAAAGUAAUUUUAAUAUCUAAAAAACAAGUGUGGGUAGUUCUUUAGCUUUUUGGAGUUACUAAUUAAUGUAAUGUUUCAAUCUCUCAAAUAUCAAAUGCGAUGGUUUCUUAUACUUUGAACUUUAUAUUUCUCCACACAUUGAAGAUUGACAUAUUUUAGUUGAUCAUAUUAGUACAGUAUUCAUGAUUUUCCUCUUAUAAAAUAACAUAGUAUUUGAAGGUCUGUGUCUUAUGCUCCCUCUAGUUGGUCGAUGACAUCUUUUAUGAGAACGUGUGGCUUCGAUCUUCUAAUGAAGUCUUUGCUUGUGAUUCAUUAAACUCUUCCUCGAUUAUAGAGGUUUGUUUCUUCUCUUCUUAUUUCUCAUUUGGUUGUGUUGAUUAUCCCUGAUUGAAUUUUCAAUGGAUUUUAUUGGUAGGGUUUAGGUGAUGUGGUUGUAUUCUUUUUUUUUGGUGACUAUGAGCUGAUUUUUAGACUUGGGACUGGUGGUUCUGAGCUUUAUUUUGUGGUUGGGUUGUUUGAUUAGUUAUCAAGAUGAAUUCGUUUUAUGCUUCUGUUCUUAAGACUAAUAUAAAAUUGAGGGAAGAGCUUGAUGAUUAUAUUUGUUAGGAUGCUCUUUGAUCAAUUCUAUGUGAAUAAGUUGGAUGCUUAGAUGAUCAAAUUUGUGGCAAAUAAAUUUAGCAUAAAAUUGAAGGGGAAUUGAGGAUGAUUGAGAAUGUAGAUAUCUGGGACCCGUGUAUUGGGAUGAGAUGGUGGUGUACUUUAAGGCACUUUACUUUUAUACAAUAAUUUGUGGACUUCGUUAUUAAAUAAGCUUUCAUUAUUUGUAGACUUCUUUCCUUAAACAAAUUUUAACCGAUUUUAAUAAAUGAGAAUACUUAGAUGUUGCUUGGGUAAUAUGCAGUUUUUGGUGUCAAAUUGAAUUAAGAAUAGGAAAUACUUGCUCUUUGUAACUUAGAUAUUUGUGAAUUGAUUUUAAUCAUUGUGCCUAUUCUUUAUUGCUUUGAGCUAAAUAAUCAACAUUAGCUUUCUUCCAAAUAAUUAUUUUAUUACAGAAUGAUUUUAUGUUCUUGUUCUCUUAAGGGAUUGUGUUAUUUGUUCUCUAAUUCUGUUAAGUGGUUGUGCUUUUGUGUUCUUAUUUUGUUAAUAGUUGUAUCUUUGUUCCCUUAAGAAUUUAGAGAAAGUUAUGUUGGUUAUUUUUUGCAAUUACAGGUCCAAAACCAAUGCCUAGCUUCUGUUAUUCUUUAUGAUUACAAUAUAACUCCAAGAUGGAGUUUAUGAUUUUCCUUUAGAUUCAAAAGUGGUCUUAAUCAAAUUUCAAGUGUAAUAUAAUGUACCAUUGUGGGAGAUAUUAGGUACAAGUUCGAGUUUUUUCUUUUAUAUUUUUUGCACGAAGUUGACAUGUAACAAGAUUGUUUGUUUGUAUGUUUCUCGAUUUUACUUGUCUAUUUCUUUAUGGAUUCAUUUGGCAGGUUGGCUCCCUUCAAUGGGGUAAAUAACAAAUGAAAAUACAGGGUAAUUAAAGUCUAUGAAAAUACACUUCUAAUUCACCUCAUGGUUUCUCAAUUUUGUCUUUCAUAUUAGUUCUCAACGUUAAAGUAAAGUCUAUGUCCUAAUCUCCCUUCUCCGACCUUCAUAUCUCAUUUAGAUGUUGGAUUUUUGUAAGACUUGCAUUUAGACAAGAAGGAACGCUAGGCUUCGAUGGAGAUGCACAUAUCACUCAAGAUAUUUGUAUAAGUUUAAUUUUGUAUUCAUUUU